GAAUUAUUAACUUAAUUCAUUUCCAUGGGUAUUUUAAAGAACCCCAAUAUUUAUUGAACCUCUCAACAGUGUGCAAGUUACUGGGAGAAGGGAAAAGAAAUAUGGGAGAUGAUACCUCUUCUAAAGAGAGUUAACAGUUUGGGAGAAGAGGAGUCUUAACAUACACAGAUUUUUAGAGAAACAGACAAUCAAAUUGUGAAUUUAGAUGCAGAAAUUCAGGGAUAAUAAAUAGAUCAAUCAACUAGAGUGAAUGGAGGAGGCUUUAUUGAAAAGGAAGGAUGUGACUAGGACUAUAAAGCAUAGAUUGAGUUUGAAAAGAAGGGGAGAAAAAUACACAAUGAGGGAAGGGUAUGACAGGAACAAAGUUGUAGAGGUAGGAAGACACAUGGUACAAUACAGAAACCUGUGGCAUUGGGCUCCAAAUGGGGUACGGCAGGAGAUAAGAGAUGUGAGGGAGGCUGGGACCUUAUUACCACAGGUUUGUGGCUGCAGUUAGAAGGGGCAGAGGUUUGAAACAAGAGCACAAUACGUGGUUUUAGGAAGUCGAAAGUAGCUAGUGGUACACAGGGUAGAUGAAAGAGAAUAAAUGGAACCAGACUGGAUCAGCACAUUUAAGUUCAGUAGGGAACGUGUCGGAGGAGGUAGGAGACAAGAUGAUGGCGACAACCUGCUCCCCGCUGGACCCAAAGUGGAGGCUCCCCGUCCCUCCCGCGUACGUGGAAUAAAGGUUCCGCACACCUUUCCCGCAGCCGGAGCCCUUUCAAAGGGGCAACCUUGAGAGAGCAACGUGUGGUAUGGGUGGUACACGUGACUGAGCCGUGCUAAGGCCUCUUCCUAAACUUUAAGAUUCUGGCGGGUGAGUGCGGAGAUUUACUGCCCCUCUGGCCAAGGAAUACAAGCCUCCUAAGAACAUUCAGUGCUCCUGGUGCUGGGAUUAUGAAGGCAAAGGAGAUACACUCCUGCCAUCCGUUUGCGUACUCCAGGCAAGAGAGGAAAAUGGGUUCAUAAAGAGAUGAUGAGAAUCAUAUGCAUUAAGCAUGAAACCAAAGGAAACAUUUUAAAAUAUCAGACAUGCUCUAGGAAGUUGGUUCACAUCAAGUUUUGUGUUCAGUGUGUCCCUUUAUCCAUCCUUUACAUGAGGCCCACCGACAGCUCCCAGUUCAAAAGUAGCACAAAG